UUUGGAUCUCGUUUCAAUUCUGUCUGAUUGAAGAGGUGUCUCUUGCCCUUGGGCUGCUGGUCUACUGUCACGGAGCCAUCGUUCACCUUCUCGGUGGCGAGACUGAGUAGACGAAGCUUUCCAAGCCUGUCAUGAAGGCCUGUUCCCACUUCUGUCACCUCUCUCACGUCUGUGCUUUGAUGGUCCUUCAGCUUUUUAGCACGUCCCUUGAUUUGUAGAUACCUGAAUUAGACUCAAAGUUUUAGUGAAACAUAUCCCAGUUUCAACAAGAAUUAAUUCAGGCAAAACCUGCUGCAGCCUGUGUUAGUCAGGAGAUGAGUCCGUCCUCACUCCCCCUCUUCUGGAAUUAGUGUCUGAUUCUCUGUAAGAACUGAUAGUGUCUUAGUUCCUGUGCCAGCUUCUCUCCUAACUGAGAUUAUUGUAUUUUUGUACACAAAGGUAUCUUUAGUCUUUCUGGCUACAAGAUGUGCAAGGAACUCGCAUUCAGCUGCUUUUUUCACCUAGUGUUUUUCGGAGCCCUUGCUUCCCGAGCCAGAGUCCUCCUUCUGCUCAUCCCCAGAUAAUGCGAACACCAGUGCUGGCCCCGAGGAAGCAUCUGCAGUGCCUGCGGGGCAGAGGGUUGCAGCACUGCCCCUCUGUCAGCAAGCCACAGUCAGAUCGUGUGGUUCAGCCGUGUGGUAAAACAUUCUCUUCAGAUGGGGAGAAGACUGAAUAGUUGCCAGAGAAGGAAGAGGGCAGGGCAGAAGCUUUUGCUUCUAACUGCUAGCCCCAACACAAGCUGAAAGUAAGUACCUAAACUCCCUCUCAAAAACAGAUUAAGCCCUCCAAAGGUAGUUACUAAAAUCUCAGUCCGAGUGUAACGUUUCUAAAGCACUUCAUAAAUUUGUUUCUUAAGAAAAAUAUGUUGUCAUCUGAACCUGAAAUAUUUUGAAGUACAAAGCCUUGGUGUAUUUAGUAAAGCUAUUUGUAGAUGUCUCUUUAAAUGCUAGUUUCUUGGAAAAUGCUUCUUACAAACAAGGAGGUUGUAACAUUUAACUCUUCUCCCUGGCUGACUGAUACUGGAAUUGUGUUACCUUUGUUGCACUGGUGCUUGAAAUAAUUCUUGUGUACUCUUUGUGUAUUGAUUUAAAGGCCACAAUUAUGCAGCUUGUUCAACGUGACCAAAUUUCCACAUCCUUCUAAAGCUAUAUAAACUCCAGGAGGGCUCCAGAAACACGCAGUGCAGACUCGUUUGCAGAACUGGAAUUUAUGCUGAAGAAACGCUUUUGGAUUUCCCUAGGUGGAGGACGUCAGAGCAACAUAAGGCUUCACUUGCUGAAAUCUAGCAUUAGUUUGCCUCCCUGAUCAGCAUCCUAGGCAAAAUCCAAACCGUCAGGUGACCUCAGCUUGUUUUGGAGGUUUGUUUCUGUGUGUUCAGAACAGUCAUGGAUGAUUGUCCUAUCAAUCCAGAAGUUUUGAAAAUAGCAUUUAAUUAAUGCUGCUUGUCUCAUCUCUUUUAUAAGAAGUUUUAAAGAGGAAAAAUAAUGUUAGUAAAUAGAGGUUUCUUCCGGGUCAUCCUGCCAAACGGCUGUUUUGGGUGAACGUUUUCCGCCAGCUUUCUCACUGCGUUGCCCAGCUGCACUGGGAACCGCAGAGUCCCCGCUGGUAACUGUCCCCAGCUCACCACCACUGAUCCCCUGCGCUGGGAAUGCAGGAAGCAGUGCUGGUGUCACCUACCCCUGCAUUUAAAAUUGCUGAUAGAUGCAUGUCUUUAAUAGCAUAUGUUGAAAGUUUGAUUUCUUAUGAAAGGAGAAGAAAUAGGCCACAUCUGCAGAGUGCUGAUAAAAUGGAAUUGUCUCUUUGUGAUAGAGUGAUUCCAAUUUACUUCUGCAGUAUUUUUUUUUCCAAAAUAACAGCAUUCAUAGUUGACUUAUAGUAACUUCAAAUCCUAUGAAAAGUGACGUAAUUUACUAGCAGAGUUAUAUAAAUUUAGAAGUCAUCUUUGCUAAGGACAACUUCUUUUGCUUUUUUUAAAUUUCUAUUUGUUUGAUGUGUACACAGAUGACUCAGUUAAAUUCCAUGUGUAACUGGAAAACAUUUCUAAAAAGCAGCUUUUUUAGGAGUGCCCAUGUGAUUCAUGUUUCUGAACCUUGCCAUUUAUGAGGUCUAUAAAUUGCAAGGAAAAUUACUGAUUGGGUAAACUAUGUCCCUAGAACCACAGGGCAACUCUUUAGCCAGAACUGUUAAAUAGUAUAUAAAAUAUGGGUUAUCUGAGUGGAUUUUAAUCAUGCCUAUAGUUCAGUAAAUAACUAGUUUGGAAACAAAAGGAUUUUAUGAAGUUACUAAAUGUAAGUGCAAAUUUGAUUUUAUUCACUACAGAGGUGUAUUCAAAAACAGUUUUCUUAACAGCAUCAGUCUGAACUCUUCUCCAGUGAUACAGUAAUUGACUGUUCCACCUCACAGGAACUUUUAGUUUUUUGUCAGUCAUUUCUGAGUUAUUCUUCAUUGCUCACAGUUUUGGUCUUCAGUGUUUACAUCUAUGCUGGUAAGAUUUCUAGGAGCUCAUUUCCUCACGGGUUCCGCUUCCUAUGGUCACCGCUGCUGUAUUGUUCUAAGUUGUCACCACAUUUGAAAGACUCUGUGUACUUAUUACACAGUUGCAAUGUUUUUCCUUGUGUAACCUCAUUUGCAAGAAAAGGCAGUGAUUCAGAGCACAGUUUAAAAGAAGGAUUUGAGUACCUUUUCCCAAAACUCAACCUGUCUUGAAUGGCUGGCCCAAGAAAAGCUGUUAAUAUUGUUAACUCAGCGGGAGUAAAAUGAAAGUAGUUCAAGCAAUCCAACAUAGCUAUAAAACGUAGCUAUAAAACACAGCUCCACAGUGAGUGCUAGUCAUGGCAAAAAUUCAGUUUCUCCUCCCUGUUGUAGGGAUUGAUUCUCCUUCCUCUUAUUUCAGCAUAAAUGGGAAUGGUGACGAUGGAGCUGCACCACCGGAAAGCAUCGGUUUGUAUCACAGGUAGCAGCUGGGAGAGCGAGUCACAGCUCAGGGGCAUGCGGUGACGGGAGAGCUCACCGCAGCCGUCACCCCAGGGCUCUGUAGCCUCAGCGCAAGGCACGAGGCCAGAGGCAGCUGCGCAUCUCCCCGGAGGCGCCCUGAAGGCUUCGGGGAGAAUUAGGAGACCUUGUGGGGCCACACCUGGAGCUGAUAAUGAUGGUUUACAAGACUCAGUAAAGGGUUAAUCAAAACUUGCAAAAUGCUGUGAAUCUAAGACAAGAAAUGAACAAAAAUAUGAUUGUUAUUACCCUGAGCACAGUAUUUUCCCAGGUGUCUGUCUACACGCAGCAAAAGGAUUCACAGAAAUGAUGGUUGAUGAACCAAAGGCCGAGGCACUUACCUUAGCUCCUGGGGUUGGAGACAAUCCUAAAUGAUUUCUGACCUCCUCUGCUGUGCCCCAUUUUACACUUGUAAGAUGAAAAUACUGUUUUUCUGUGCAGCAAAGUGUUAAGUCACUCUGUUCACUCAGGUAUCUCUCAGAACCAUCUGAACAGAAAGCCCAUGUCUCACAGUGCUGUGCGGAGUGAUAGUGGAUUUAAUUCCUUCCUUCCACAGCAAAUCAUCUCCAGGAUGCCAGAGAGAUACCAAAGGUUGAAAAUUGUUGAAGCAACUGGAAUGAAAGCGAGGCAGACGCAAGGAACUGUACCUUUCGUGCAAGAUCCAAGAGCAUGUGAGUCGCGGUAUAUUCAAGGUGUAUUGAAAUGUAAAAUCCUGCACACAUGAAUUCAUCUGCCAAUUCUAAUUAAAAAAAAGUGAUUAUUGAAUUGGAAUGAGCAGGAAGGAGGAGCAGCAAAUGGCAGUGGCUAAUAUAGCACCUAGUCAUUAAUACAUUUUAGUUAGCAAGUAUGUGAAUAGAAUUGCUAUAGGAAGACCACUGAACCUCACUCCUCCCCAGGCAAAAGCUGCUGUCGGCUACGUAUCUGUCAUCUGCUCUGGCCCCGCCGGCUUUUCAGUUGCGCAAGCUGGCCCGGCGAGUCAUCCGAGGCUCCUGCCCCAGAGCGAAUGUGCCCCCAAAGUGACAGCUUGAGAACAUAUGAUACCUUCACAGUUUGCAUUUUAUACAUGCUUUCUGUUGUCCGUACAUGUGACCAGCAGAGUAGUUUUGGUGCCUAGAUAAAAAUAAUACUGAAAAGUCCAGUUAGAUUUAAAGUCCUGUGUCUGGUUUCCAGAGUCAGGAAGAGUUUCGUUUGAUUUGAAGGCAAGUACAAAACAUUGGAAUUAAUAAGCUAUGGGGAUGUAAUUGCAGGGGAAAACUUUGCAUCUCUCUUCAUAGUGCUUAUAAGUAAUGUUCUCUGCUUAACAUGAUUUGGUUAUGUGAACAAAAGAAGAACCACAAGUUUUAUCUGAGCUCAGAGAGAAGUUACUGACUUCCUGCCUUGUGCACAGUAUUCCAGGAAAACCAAACACUUUGGCAAAUGUACCACCUAGGAGAUUUUAGGUGUUGGUAAGGGAUUUGUUUCAAAAAUGUUUGCUUUUCUUCUUCAAAGAAAGCUUUUGACUGGAGAAAUUACAAAGAAAAAAAAAGUCAUUUCCAGACAUGAACUCAGAUUAUGGAUGUGCAGCUAUUAUGGGUGUGUGGCUGCAUAAAAUAACCAUCUACUCUCUCAAUUUUUCACCAAAGUUUAAACAGCUCUGUAGCCUCCUCUUUUUGAAAAGCUGGCACUUCACUUGGGUUGAUAAUUUAACACUCGCUGCAGAAUUUCCAGGCGCCAGCGGGGAUUUAAUGCAGUAACCACCACUUGGCAGAAGGCUGGUCGGUAUGUUACUGACCGUGCUGCAGACGGACCAUCAGGACCAGGGAGUUUCCGGGGCUUGGGGUGGGAAGGGAGCGAGCCCUGGAGCGAGGCGGUGUUUGUAGGGCAGGCUGUGGACAGCAGCAGCUCCAGCAUCCAGGUCUCUUAGCCUGAUACGGAGGAAAGCGCCUGCUCUGCGUUCGUGUCAGUGCAACACGUGUGUCCCUGUGAGGUACCCGAGGACGUCGAUGGCAGUGGUGGUUGUUAGGUGCUUGUCACCUGAGAGCUGGACGGACCUCCUGAGCUCAUUUCCCAGGUGGCAAUGUAAUCUCUUGCUGGGUAAUGGGCUUAGAUUUGGACAGUAGAGAGGGGACUGUGUGUCUUAUUACUGAUAAAACCUGUAGCGCAGCCAGUCCCCUUUGCCUUUGGCUACUGCAGUUCAUACAAUGACUCGUUUUUUGAGGAAAUUGUCACAGCAGCCCAGGAGCUCAUUAGCUGCAGCAAAAACAUCUUGUGGAUCUGGGCUUCUAGGAUUUGUAGACAAUAAUGCUCUGACUAAUAAAAUUAUUAGCAUCAGUAAUUGAAGGCAAAUACAAAAUACAGAUGCUUCAGCUUCAACUAUAUGAUGCUUUGUACCAUUUAACUAUGGUCAGCACUAAAAAGUUCAAAAGCUCAUUACAGCCUCUCUCAUAGCUGCAUACCUUUUGAAAAUUAGAAACACUUCAUGAGAAGAGUCACUCUGUAGCGUGUUAUUAUUCUUCCAAUGGUUUUGUAAUUCCUCACAGUUGCUAUUUGUCUCCUUGAGCUUAGAAAUAAACAGAUCCUCAGCCAGUGGGUAAUAAGAGACUCGGGGGCAAGUGUCUACCAGGCAGGAAAGGAACGGUUAGGAAAUCGUACUGAAUAAUUCCCAGAGAUUCUCCCUAGCUACAGCCCUUCCCAGAUCUCAGCCGUACUUAGAGGAAACAGCAAACAGCAGCUGUAAUUUAAAAAGAAGAUGUUUGUGUGAUACUCCCCAAAGCAGCCAGGCAACUCUUUUCAGAGGCACCUAAAAGGGAGGCACAGUUGCAGACGUGCCUCCCCGACACGGUCCCCGUCUGCUUGAGGUUUCAGGCCGACGUCCCCCGCGGCGUCAGGAAUUUACAGGCUGGGCCCCGGCCGAGCUGAGGGGACCCCGCAGCAGGAAACCUUUCCACUGGGUCUCUGCUGAGUGUGUAACAGGAGCGUGAGUUGCAGCUGGAUAAUGUGGUUUUCCUUGGGGGAAGGAGAAAACACCGUUCGAGCCUGUGCCGCCUGCGAGGUGCAGUACGGGGAGAUGCAAAGUCCCGGCCCUGGAGAAGCUUCUGCUCCGAGCGAGGCGGGAUGUGAAGGCGUCCGUGGAAGAGCGGUGGACAGAGCCUGCGGCAGGCGUUCGGGAGGUCGCGGCAGCCCCUCCGCGGGAAGAGCCGUAGCGUGCAGGCGCCGGGGCUCCGCACAGCUGGGCGCGCACGGAGACGAGCUGCGGUACAGCCGCGUGUUAAAGACGGGUGUUCAGCCGUUCUUCGCUCCUAUUUAACAGCAGGUAAGUGGUGAAGUGCGCUCUUGUUGAAAUUCUUCCCCUGUCUGAGCAAACACCAUGUAACACGCAAUUUUUGUAGUGAUUUGUAGAGUAUUUUUACUCUUGAAACAUAGUCCUUCCUUUUUAGCCCUCCUUAAUCAUAGUGAUUUUGUGGAGAAUACCAGACUUUCCAUUCUUGGACUUAAAGCUUGACUUUUCCCUUCCUUAUUUCCUUUUGCAUUAAUUCUCUCUCCUAAAAAUAGACAGCUGGAGUCCCAAAAUACCCCGCGGAGCCUUAACAGAGACCCUGGGCACCGGCGUCCCCUCGGCCCGGCACCGCGCGGCCGCCAGCCGUGGGCAGGGCUCCCUGCAGCGCCCGCGCAGCGGCGGCCGAUCCCGAGCACGGCUCCCUUCUGCCUUCCUCCUGCCACAUCGUCCCGCUGCUCCCAGCGGGCUGCAAGUUGCGGUUUGUAUGGCAGCCCCACGGUGGGAACAUCUCUAACUUUUUACUACUUCCAGGGUCAACAAGGCGGCCGUGUUUUAAACCAGACCCGUAAGGGCCUCGUGACUUCAUGGGACCUCAUUGUCUGUAGGUCUGAGACAGCUCUCAGCAGAGUAACAGAGGUUAGAAAAGAAAAAUCUGAAGAAAGAAAAUGAGCAAAUAGGCUGAGCUGGGCGGUGGGUCGAGCUGGGUCUGCGCUUUGGGCGUUUGGGGCCGGCGGCCAGCGGCGGGGCCCGUCUGCCUGCGCCCCUCCGCGGGGAGCACAGCUGCGGUGCCGAGUUCCACGAGCGUAGGACCGACGCGAGGCUGGAGGCUGCGCGCUUCGGGACGCGGCGCUUCGGGGGAGAGUCCCAGCCUGGCAGAGGGUGGGAGUGAGGCUUGAGGGAAAAAUGCAGCGUCUUUGAAGUGAAAAACUUUGAAGUUCCAAACAGCUAGCAAAUUCCUCUUUCAGUUUACUGUCUGUGGAAAGUCUGGAAGGUGAGAUAUUUAACAGAAGAAACGGGGUAAAACACUGAAAAGUAACGCGUUGGGGAAGUGGGGAUUUUGCGUUCGGAGUGCUGCUGCGCUCGCGGGGAAGGCGACCCCGACUGCAGAAGCGCCGCGGCGGGGCUGCCGGCCUCUUCCUCCUUUCCCUUCCCCUCCGUCGCUGACGCACAGCGCGGGCGGCGGAGGGAGGGACUCUCUCUUCCCGUUGCUAUUGUGUUUUGUUAUGUUUUGUGUCCGUCCAGUUUGUCUCCAGGAUCAGAGGAGUGACUCACUGAGUUCUCUGCACAAUAGGAGAGCCUGGGAAAACACAAACAUCGGCCUCUUAGAGACGCACGCUCCUGCUAACGAAACGCUGGCGUGACGUGCCUUUCCCCGGGCUGCUGCAGCCAGCGCGGGACCGUCCCUCCUCCUCCACACCUCCUCCGGGAUUCGCACCUGGGGCGGUUGCUGCCUCUCUUUGUCUCUCUAGAGCAGGAUUUAAAGCUGCCCUCCCCUAAACAACUCUCUCAUUUUUCCAGACUCAUCUCCACCAUUGCUUUUCAUCGCUUUCUCCCACGGUUUUCCAUCUCGUUGCUCUCAUGCUGCCACGCGCCUGAGACCCUCUCUCUAGCCGUCGCUGUCCCUCUCGUCCCUCGGCUGCGCCGCUUUCCUCGGGGCAGCGCCGGUGCCCAGGAGCUGGCGUGCGGCACCUUCCCGCGGGACGCGUCGCGGUGGCCGGCAGCCCGGGGAGCCGCGGGCCGGCUGGGGCAGGGGAAGCGCAGCCGUGCUGGCACGCCGCUCGGCCCCGACGAGGCCGCGCAGGGCAGUCCCUCAGUCUGCGCAGAGGCACAUCAGUACGGCCAAGCCAGCUCCGGGGCUGCCUUGGACGUCCUGACACGUUAGAGACAACCCGGGUCCAACGCAGCAGGCGGGGAGGUGCCCCCGCGUGUGCAUCUGCGAAGCUUCUGCUUGCGUUGGCCAUGGCAAGUUUUGAGGAGAAAGUUUGGAAGCGCGGCCCUGCAGCACACGUGCGUAACUCUUGGGGGGCCUCUUCCUCCUGCUGUCUGGGGAACAUGGGGAACACGGGGCGCGUUCAGCUUUCAUCUCCUCCUCAUCUCCACGGGCUUCGUGCCUCCGCAGGGCAGCCGGAGCCAAGCCUUUACGCCUCGCCGCGAGCGGGACGGGACGCUUGUGCUCUGACGCCAGGACUUCCGCACCCGUUACCACUGACUCGCUGCGGGAUUCGCGAUGCGGGCGAGAGGGGGGCGACGCCUGCGCUCGAGGAUGGCCUGAACUGAAUUUCCCUCCUGUCUGUAGAUGGCAGUCAUGCUUUCAUAAAAAGGGGCUAUCCGGGUGUAGCCCACGAGCGAAGCCGUAGGGGGGUGGUCGCAGGCUGGGCCGCGCUCAGGCUGGGCCGCCUUUGGGCCCCGUGGUGCCCCGGCCGCGCGUGCCUCGCGCCGAGCCCAGCACUCCCGCGCCCAGCCGCGGCGGCAGCGACCGCGAGCUCAGCCGGGAGGCACCACCGGCGCCCUCGGCCCCUGGUGCCGCCCCGCGUGGCCUGCCGGACGCCUCCCCCGCGGGAGCCAAGGACUAAGCCUGCCUGCUGCCAGCGCCGGUCGGGUUGGGCAGGCUGGUCCUUCCGCCACAGCCGUGGUGGAGCAGCAGUUUCGCUGUAGAGCUGCUUUCUCCCGGUGACGUAGCGCUGUUCCUAGGCUGUUCCGGUUUUGUCAGCAGCGUCCAUAGGCCCCUGGGGCCUGUUCCUGUCCAAACCCCGCUCGCUUCUUCCCGGACCUGUUUUCUUCACCCUUUUUUUCCUCCAUCCUUGUUUGAUCUAACCCUGCUCUCUGACUUGCCAGAGCACGAACCUGGCUCCGAACAACGUUCGUUCACGCUUUCCCCCUCGGCUGUUGCCCCUCGGGUGCCUGGGCCCAGGCUCCCCCCUCGUCUGGCCCAGGGCUUGGGCAGCGUACGAAAACGUCCCUCCCGCUCCCUCCCUGCGUGGGGCCGCGCAAGGUGCCCUGCGGCUGGCUGGACGCAGGGGCUCGCCUGCUCGGGCCGCGGGCUGACGCGGCCCCCGUGACCGCUCGUGGUGGGAGCGGCGCGGUGCCGGGGCCGCUGCCCGGGGCCGCUGCCCGGCCGGAGCGCUGCCGUCCCACCCGGAGCCCCGGGUGCGUGCUGGGGCCGCGCGGGUCCUUCUGGUCAGCUGCUAGAAGCACUCGGCCCGUCUGAAACGCUUGUUUUUCAUGUUUUCUUCGUCUGUUUUCUGUUUCAGCCUCUGUCUCCUCUCUGUUUCUGUUGACUCUAUAUUUAUCCCACUUUAAUUAAUCUCUUGUGAUCAACUGGCAGAGCAUGUCAUGGGUGUGUUUCCUUGAAAACCGGUGGCAAUGAACCUUAAGGUGGACCAUUUUGAAGCCAGAAGUGAAGCACAGGUAAAUGUAAAUAGGAAAAUCCCAUCAUAACCCUAGCAGCACGAUCUCUCACCGUCCCAACCGAUGGGCACGUGCCAAGUCCACGAGCACUCGAUGGCGAGCGCCGAGCCCCAGGCAGGGCAGAAGCCCGUGCGCGCGGCAAAGCAGCAGCGUCUUUGCGGGUGGGGACGCGUUAACGUGCGCGUCUCUCUGCGUGGGCGUCCGGGCGGGGAGGCCCACAGCAGCGCUGUACCGCCGCAACAGCUCCAGGCUUACACCGAGAAGGCAUAUUUCAUAGCUGCAUUUCGGGCGGCCAGGACUGUCCCAAGUAGUUCCUUUUAAAAUGAUUUAUUUCUCUUCUCAUUCAUCUGUGAAGUUUAAAAAACCAAACUUUGUCUGCCCCUCUGUUGUCAAGCGUGAGGUGGAUCCUUCACUUCGGAAGGCUUCAGAAAUGCUUCAGGGACGAUCUUCACGAAUAAGCAGUACCUGGAAGUGCUAUAUAACCUGUAUUUUCAGGAAACUUCCAACUCCUCCCUCCAUAGAGACGAGGAGCAGGAAUCCAUCCGUCUGCUUUUUCCAGCAUUCGUGAAAAAAGGCCACUUGACCCCCUUUCCCUCUAGUGCAAACAGUGAAUUCAGGCAGAGGGAGCAGCCAGAAGACUGGGUAGAGGCAGAAGUUAGACACGGGCCAAUACACGAGGUCUGCCGGGGAGCUUCAGCUCCCCUUGGCAUUAGGUGGAUUACCUGGAUUUUUGCUUAAGGAUUCUCACAGCCCGACUGCGUCAGCGUUUGCUGCGGGGAAUUUCCCGGUUAUAACACAGAGACUGGAAAUAAGCAGAGAGAAGCCGCAUCAUGCUAAUGCGUGUAGAGAAGGAUGAAACAAGCUCACGUGGUUUUUGGGUCUGCCAGACGUUGGCGUUUUAUCUUCAGCUCCAGGGAGGUUUGCUGGUGAGGAGUCAAGGCUAUCCACUGCAUGCCCAAAGAGUAUGUUACUCCCAGAUAAAGAGCCUUUAAAUAGGGCAUUAACGUUUUUAAGCAUUUAUGUGAUUUAGCUAGUUCCUUUGUGUAAGCUAUAAACCAGCAGUUGAUCAUAGACACGUACAGAUGUCCAAGCUCACUGGUGUGUGGUCAGAGAUAAUGAAUAGCACUGGCAGCUCGACACUGUAACAAACACGCAGGGAAACCUGCCAUUAAAGAUAAUGGCGCUCCAAGUUACUUGCUCUGAACAAUUUUCAUGACCUCUGCACAAGAAAAUGUCCUCAUUUUAAAGUUAUUCCCACAACUGCCCCUACUUUAGUAAGGAUAUUUUAGUAUUUGUCUUUCAAUAGUAGUCCACUCUUUCAAAUUAUUUUUGCAAUUAGAUAUAAUGUUCCCUAGAUAGUUAUUCACUGUAGAGCAUAAAAUGGUUUUCCUGGAGGUGGUGGUGAUAUUUUCAAAGCACAACGGCAACCGUCUGCCAUAGCCUCAUGCCUUUGAGCAAGUCACUUGUGCUGCUAUUUCCUCACCUUUAACAAUGCGGAAAGGAUAUUUUGAGGGGCUGAGAUUAAAUUUACUCUUUCUACAGCACAUUGACACUUGCAGAGAUGAUAUUAGAAAUGUGCAAAGAAUUGGGCUUUUGAAGGUGGUUGACCCUCUGACCUUUAACUCAUACAUAUUAAUCUCAUAAGCAUCUUGUAAAGGAAACAAAAGCAUAGUAUACACCAGCCUUAACAAAGGAAUUUCACUCUGCAGCUGCAAGAUAUCAGCCAAAGAAAAGGAGAGUAUGAAACAAGCAUCAUGUAAACUUUGUCUCAAUGGUUAAUUUUUUUUUUUUUUUUACAAUAAUACUGGGUGAAAUUUAAACAGAUAAAAGAUAUUAGACAAGAUAUCAAACCUCAAACUAACAGAGGAAAUAUUUACUAGCUUCAGCUUUUUAACUGAUGACAAGGAAAUUAAGAGGAAAACCGAUACUUCAUAAUUAUAAGUUUUAUUCUGGAAAAUGUAAAUGUCACUAACCAUGCAUACAAGUUAAGAUGAUAUUUUACAGUUGUUAUUCUUUCUUUUUCCUUUUUUACUGUUGUUGCAUAGGACAUUGUCAUGAUAUAUGAUCUAUGCAGUAUAAAAUACAUAAAAAGUUACAGCAGAGCAAGAAUAGAUUAGCAUAUAACUGUACAACUGUAAUACUUCAAUGUAGUGAUUUAUAGAGUUGCAAAGUGACCCAUGGGAGCACUGAUGUGCUGCUGACAAAAUCGUCUGGGUGAAGACGACACCAGUAACAUCACGGUUCAGCACGGCUGAAAGCAUGUAAACCCGUGCAGGCGGAGGCGCGGGCACGCGAGCGGCACCGUCCCCGGAAGGCCCCACGUAACUGCGGCUCCAACGAGGGAUGAAGCUCAACCGCAAGUCUUGAAGAGGGGACUCAAACUUCCCACAGGCAAUGGCGUUUGAAUCUAGGAUUUUGGUUCAGACCCAUCGCUAGGUAUAAAGAAAUGGAUACCUAUUUUUGCUCUGUAGACAUCCCUUCAUUAUUCUGUGUGUAUAUAUACACUGAUGUGUGUUUAUGCAUAUACACACACAUACUAAAAAAAUAUACACAUAUAUAUGUAUUUAUAUACAUGUGCACGUUUCUAUAAACCCAUAUAUAUACACAUAUAUAUUUAUAUAUAUAAAAAACCUAUACCAGUGGA